AACCCUUUUUAACUACGUUGACUGACCUCUUAUCAGUUACUAUGAAAAGCACCAAAACCAACUCAUGACGUGAUGUGAACAUCGAACCAUGGGGCUGAACAUUUCAAAUGAGCUAAAAAACACUGGCGUCUGUAGACGAAUGCUGUUUAAUGAGCCUGGCUGUCCUCCGUCUCACCCUCCUCCCUCAAGGUGGCCCCUGGGAGCCAAUCCUGUCCCAACCUGGGCGCAGUAGAGGUUCAUGAGGCUCAGCGUGAAGAACUGC